AGAAGCCUAGAGCCAGGGACCCCCGAGUCCCCGCUCCUGUAGCCCUCGGCCUCCGGGAUCUCACUUUAACCAGGGCAGAGUGGAGGGGCGCCUGGCAGGAGACAGCAGGUCCCCCACCGUGGGCUGAGGGUUCCGAGGGCCCCACUGGCCCGGCCGGCUCCGACAGGGAAGGGCACUGUUGCGCUGUGGGCCAGAGCUGGCUCCAGCCCGGCCACUGGGUCACUGGGAGCGGAUUCCACCGCCGGCCCUGCUGAGAGGGCCAGAGGACGACGGAGGCUGCUUCCCUUCCCCUUUUCUUCCUUUCCUUUUAUAAAGAUCUUGCAAACUUGGGGUUUGGGGGAACUCGCAGUUCUCCCAGCUGCCCAAAUAGCGGAGGCCUCUGUGCUUCUCAUCCUCUUCCCUGCUCCUUGGCCCCAGGAGAGCGGGAAGCCAGCUGCCUCCACCCAGAGACUGGGGCGCGGGCGAGCAGAAGAGCACCUCGGACACCCGCCCACCCCUCACUGCUGGCGGACCCCUCGGGGACACCCUGGCCAGGCGGCUGCCCCUCCCCACGGGCCGGGUGUCAAGGGGACUUGCACCUGGCAGCCUGCCGAGCUGAGGCGUUCGUAUACCUGCUUUAGGACGUCUUCCUGCUGAUCCCCAGCAUUGGGAGCACGGGGUGCAGGAGAGGCACUGAAGGAUCCUGCAGCCGAAACCUUCCUCCAAUUCCCUAAUGCUUAAAAAAACCAACAGUUUAGGAAUAAGAUUAUUCUGAAAGUUUGCUCACAUAUCUCUCUUAGGUUCUUCUUUGUGUACAAAAAUAAAUCGCCUUUCCCAAGGUUCUGCAAGUCUGACCCUAAGGGAGAAAAAAGGGAACCAGAAAUGAUAAAAGCGUCACACCGCCCUGACUCAGUCUCCUGGUUCCCUCCCAGAGCGACCAGUCAUUCAGGCCCAGGCAGGAGGAAGCCAGGGCACCCACCGACCACGCUGGCGUUUGCCUCAGGCGGGAAGGCAAGCGCUCGGAGACCCCCGCCCUGGACGUCGCUUACUGACUGCAACAGCCCUCCCUGGAUGAGUGGAAGUCCGUAGAAAGUCCAGAAAACACCAGGUAACCCCCUCAAAACCAUCACUCAGGUAAAAACGGACACAUCUGAGGACUUUUCAGGACCGACCCACACCUUUUACAGCUGCUUCUGAUUGGAGUCUUGCUUCAUGAACAAAAUCCGGUAAGCUCAACAGUGCAAGUAAUUCCAACCCUGAGAGCACGCUAGCUCGCUUCUCCCUGGGAACAUGGAAGCAUUGUUCAGCAUGAUGCCAUUCAGUGCAACCCAGGUAAAUCACAGCCAAUCAACAAACUAUUGCAAUUCUACCGAAUUCAUAGGCCUGGAGAUGUGAACCUUAAUCAAAUCUAACUCUGGACUUAAGCUUUGAAUGUAUUAGAGGAGAAACAAGUGAAUAAGUACGAGAGAGGGGGAGUUUGGGGCAGUUGCGUGGAAGAGGGAGAAGGUGUGUCGGGCAGAGUCGUGCAGAAUGGACAUGGACUGGAAGGGCUGCAGCGCUGUCCCGGGGAAGCUGACUCAGAAGAUGCAUGUGGGAGCUGAAAACAGACUGAGCCCCAAUUUGUGAUCCCCUGAGUAGCCCCGCUCACAGGUAUGAGCCAGAUUUGGGAUGAGCUAUUUCAGGUUAUUCCCAGUGUACAGCAAGCUCUGCCGGAGUUGUGGAUUUGUUUGUGGCUUAGUUUUGUCUUGUUUUUGGUGGCUUUGAGUCCAGAGCUGGAGACCGGGCCCCACACACUGGAUCACCUGCUGGACCAUUGAUUGGCACCUCACCAGGGCUCCCGUGCACAGAAACAGGAGCGAGUCUCUUCUGCAGCCCUGUUAAGUAUAAAGCAGGGAGACACUGUAAAAAUAUAAGAUGAGUAAUCACACAGCGAGACAUCGUAAACUCAACCCUAACAAGAUUCUCAGACAUCGGUGCUUGGGAGGCACAACUGGGGAGCCGUCAACAGUAGGGAUCUGGGCCUGUUGGGAUAUAUUACCAUGACAGUCGGGGAGCACCCUCUGGGGCUGGGGCCACAGGAGCAGGAAGCUGAGGCCGGAGCAGAGCCGGCGUACUGACCAGGGCUCUUCAGAGAAACCGAGUCAGUCGGGGGGCAGAAGUGGCUCCCCGGAUUUCGGGGACUGGGGACUCCCAGGUCUGUGGGGCGGGCGCCCAGCGGGAGAGCCAGCGAUUCAAGGCUCAGGCCCGGGUGCCCCAGGCUGCACCCUGGUGACUUCGGAGGUCAGUCUACACUGCUGCCUCGGGCUGUAGGGACCCAUGCCACAGGGGCUCCUGAGACCCUAGGGACUUCCUCUCCCAUGUCCCUCUCCACUCUGAGGCCACACCUGGACUCCUCGGGCUGCCAGUGCGGCCUCAGCGUGCAAUUCCAGUUGAG
ensembl:lncRNA